rnacentral:rRNA from 1 species
AUUGAACGCUGGCGGCAUGCCUUACACAUGCAAGUCGAACGGCAGCACGGGUGCUUGCCCCUGGUGGCGAGUGGCGAACGGGUGAGUAAUACAUCGGAACAUGUCCUGUAGUGGGGGAUAGCCCGGCGAAAGCCGGAUUAAUACCGCAUACGAUCUACGGAUGAAAGCGGGGGACCUUCGGGCCUCGCGCUAUAGGGUUGGCCGAUGGCUGAUUAGCUAGUUGGUGGGGUAAAGGCCUACCAAGGCGACGAUCAGUAGCUGGUCUGAGAGGACGACCAGCCCAACCGGGACUGAGACACGGCCCAGACUCCUACGGGAGGCAGCAGUGGGGAAUUUUGGACAAUGGGCGAAAGCCUGAUCCAGCAAUGCCGCGUGUGUGAAGAAGGCCUUCGGGUUGUAAAGCACUUUUGUCCGGAAAGAAAUCCUUGGCCCUAAUACGGUCGGGGGAUGACGGUACCGGAAGAAUAAGCACCGGCUAACUACGUG